GUGGGGAAUCUUAGACAAUGGAGGCAACCCUGAUCUAGCCAUGCCGCGUGAGUGAUGAAGGCCUUAGGGUCGUAAAGCUCUUUCGCUGGGGAAGAUAAUGACGGUACCCAGUAAAGAAGCCCCGGCUAACUCCGUGCCAGCAGCCGCGGUAAUACGGAGGGGGCUAGCGUUGUUCGGAAUUACUGGGCGUAAAGCGCGCGUAGGCGGAUUGGAAAGUUGGGGGUGAAAUCCCGGGGCUCAACCUCGGAACUGCCUUCAAAACUCCCAGUCUUGAGUUCGAGAGAGGUGAGUGGAAUUCCGAGUGUAGAGGUGAAAUUCGUAGAUAUUCGGAGGAACACCAGUGGCGAAGGCGGCUCACUGGCUCGAUACUGACGCUGAGGUGCGAAAGCGUGGGGAACAAACAGGAUUAGAUACCCUUGUAGUCC
rnacentral:rRNA from 1 species